UACGAGGGGGGCGAGCGUUUGUUCGGAAUUAUUGGGCGUGAAGGGUGCGUAGGCGGUUUGGUAAGUCUGAUGUGAAAUCUAUGGGCUCAACUCAUAGUCUGCAUCGGAAACUGCCGGGCUUUGAGUGUGGGAGAGGUGAGUGGAAUUCCUGGUGUAGCGGUGAAAUGCGUAGAUAUCAGGAGGAACACCUGUGGCGAAAGCGGCUCACUGGACCAUAACUGACGCUGAUGCACGAAAGCUAGGGGAGCAAACAGG
rnacentral:rRNA from 1 species